rnacentral:rRNA from 1 species
UCAGGAUGAACGCUGGCGGCGUGCUUAACACAUGCAAGUCGAACGAUGAUCCCAGCUUGCUGGGGGAUUAGUGGCGAACGGGUGAGUAACACGUGAGUAACCUGCCCUUGACUCUGGGAUAAGCCUGGGAAACUGGGUCUAAUACCGGAUACGACCAUCUGGCGCAUGUCAUGGUGGUGGAAAGCUUUUGUGGUUUUGGAUGGACUCGCGGCCUAUCAGCUUGUUGGUGGGGUAAUGGCCUACCAAGGCGACGACGGGUAGCCGGCCUGAGAGGGUGACCGGCCACACUGGGACUGAGACACGGCCCAGACUCCUACGGGAGGCAGCAGUGGGGAAUAUUGCACAAUGGGCGCAAGCCUGAUGCAGCGACGCCGCGUGAGGGAUGACGGCCUUCGGGUUGUAAACCUCUUUCAGUAGGGAAGAAGCGAAAGUGACGGUACCUGCAGAG